rnacentral:misc_RNA from 1 species
AGAAACUGUGAUUUAGCAGUCGAGGGAUCCCCCAAGAGCAAUACGUUGAUAUCACCUCUUAAUCUUACACCAUCAGGCAAGAACUUCCUUGACCCUCCAAAUAAAAGACAUGCGACAGCUUUUUUGACAUCAACAUGCCCAAAUAUUGAGGGAGCAACCAUUGAGCAUAUCUUGUCAUAAGCAUUACUAUCGGAUGCAAAUUUCAGGAAUUCUUCUUUCUCAUCUACUGUGAAGUUGGCUGGCCCUCGAGAAUUGGCCUCAUUUGUUUCUUCCAAUCCAACAACUCUAAU